AAAGCAAAAAAAAAAAAGGAAGCAUAUGUGGAAGGAGGAGGUAAGUGACAGUGGAAGCUGGCGGAUCAGAGGGAGAGGGACCACGUGAUACCGGGAGCAGGUUACAAUUUGCCACAAGUGUGGGGAAAAGCACAUUUGAAUCUCUGCCUUAAAGUGUCCUCAAGCAUCAGUGCCAGGUGGAUUAAGGACUGUUAGGUCAACUAAAGCACAUCUUAAAUACUGUUUGAAGAAACUAUAGGUUAAUAACCUUCUGACUUCAGUGUGGGAAAAGAAUUAUUAAAGGAAACAUCAGAAAAGUGUUAACUAUGAUGACAAGAUGGAUACAUCUGACCACAUUAAACAUAAUUUCUGUUCCGCCAGAGAUACUUUGAAGGAAGUGAAAAAAACUGUAUCGGGGAAAGAUGUAGGCAGGGAGUUGGUGUGAAGACCCCCAGGAUCAGGAAGAAAAGAUAAACAACUUAAGAGCAAAGCCAUGAGCUGGGAUUUCACAAAAGAUGAAACAGAUGUGGCCGGAAAAACACAAUGGGAUCUUAAACUUACAGGUGAUCAGGGACACGGACAUAGAGACCACAAUGAGACGUUAUUUUCUACCCAUUUGCUUGGUAAAAAAGUGCAACGUGUGAUACUACUAAGUGCUGGCCAGGAUGUGGAGCAGCAGGCGCCCUUGAAGCUCCUCAUAGGAGUGUAAAUUGGUUCCAGCACCACGGAAGAACCAUCCAGCAUUUCUCUAAAGAUAACACUGGCACACCUGUGUCUCAGCCAAUCCAUUCCCAGGAUUCAGAGAGGAAGCCCUGCAGGUAUUCCUAGAAACGCAUCUGAGCAUGUUCAUGACAGCACGGCUGCGACCGCAGAAACACUGCAACAUGAUGAAUCCAAGAAGCCCAGUGCUGAGUGACAAAAUAUCAAAUCCCAGAGACUACACAUUAUUUGAUGCCCUUUUUAUAGUUUUAAACCAAGCAAACGCAAAUAAUAUCUAAGCAUGUAUACUACGCUAAGCUAUAUAGUCAGAGCAAGUGAGUGACAGCCACAAAAUUCAAGACAUCUCUGGGGAGGGUGAGAGGAGGGGGAAUGGGAAGGGAGGCUCUAGAAUCCAGAAUUUAGAUUUUACUGGAAGGCAAAGGGGAGCUGGUUUCUGAGAAGAGUGAUGUGAUUCCAUCCCGGUUUUGAAAAACAAUUAAAGUAAGUGUGGGGUCAAGGAAUUCUUGACACCUGUGAGUUUUCAGGCUUUUCUUCCCCUUGGCCCCAUUUUCUCCUUAAUAAUGGUGGCGGGAACUAUGUGUCCAGGGCUCUCCAGCAGCUCAUUUAAUUUUCACAGCAACUCUGUGACGUAAGUUUGAUUAGUAUCGUACUUGUCAUACCCAUGAGGAAAUGGAAGCACAGAAAGGUUUAGUGACUUGCCCAAGGCCACACAGCUACUCGGUGCUGGAGCUGAGAUUCAAAUAGGCUUCUGCUUCCUCAUCAGAACCGUAAGGAGUCGGGAGCAACCCCACCAGACGCCUGCCCAGGUCAGAGGGGACACCCACGUUCCCACCAACUGUGAGGUCGGACACUUCCAGCAAGAAGUGCAUUUGAGGCUCUGACUUGGCUCUCCCACCUCUGUUAAAGAAGAACAUUGGCUCCCUGGUCCAGAGGAUGCUCUGCGGAGAAGCUGGCUGUCACAGGCUCCUCAGACCUUCCUUCCCAGCAACGGGAGCCUCUGGUCUCAGGCAGGUCCUGGAUUCACUUCCUCACCCAGGAGCCUGGCUGCAGGAACACACCGGCCCAGAGCCUGUGGGCUUGGCUGCUUCCUUAGGAGGGGCGUUAGGGGAAGGGUCUUCUCCAAUACUGUGGGAAAAGACUGGAAUUAGGGUGUGACAGCUGAUGGAUGGUGUUCUACCUCCCAGCCUGCAUGAAAACAGCUCUGGAGUUCCUCGGAGGUCCUGGAGGACCCACUGCCUACCACAGUGACCUUGAAAUGUAUUGGGGUGUCUGCCUGCCCUGUCUCACUCUCCCCACCCCUCACUCCUGCCUCCAGCAUCAUUUCCUAGAUACCCAAGCCCUUCUUCUCAGGCUCCCUUCUCCUCUUUUUCUUAU